GUUACGAAUGCACGUGCAUAUAUGAGUAAUAUAGUUAAGCAUGCAUUUCUUUUUCGAAACAUUCAUCAUAGACACACCUUUUUUUUGGUGUUUAUUCAUAAUAUUUUCUUCAUUUUGUCAUAAUUAUAUGAUAACAUUUUAUUGCUAUUAUAGCAUACAUCACUUUCAAUUAACUGGACGUAAAAUAAAAUAUCUUUUCAAGAAAUAAAAAUGAGAGUGAGAUCAGGCUAAGGGAAUGUCAAGAAAAAAAUAAACCGACCAACACCUCAAAAUACUUCAAUUGAUGUAUUUUACACACUACCAUUGUACAACCGCUUUUCUCUACCCUGGGUUGACAUGAAACAUAAGUGAUCUUAUUCGAUGAUCAUCCAAUAACAUCUAACAUCUUUUUUAGUAAAUGUAUAAUUUUAAAUUUAUCCUGUCAUAAAAAGGAUUUGUAUAUCCAGAUCGUUUGCAGAGUUAGUGAAGAAAUAAAAUUAAAAAUAGAGCAUUGGUAUUAACUCCAAAUUUAGAUAGAGCUGAAAAUGUGUAGAAGAAUCAACGAUGCGUACCGACUGGCCUCAACCAUUGUGUCUGUAUACAGUUAGCUGAUUAUUCUUGCCAAGACACGAACGAAUGAGC